AUUGAACGCGGGAGGCAUGCCUUACACAUGCAAGUCGAACGGUAACGGGCCUUCGGGUGCCGACGAGUGGCGCACGGGUGAGGAUUGUAUCGGCACGUACCUUUACGUCGGGGAUAACGUAGCGAAAGUUACGCUAAUAACGCAUACUCUGUGCGCAUGAAAGACCGGGAUCGCAAGACCUUGCGAUGAUUGACCGGGCGAUAUCAGAUUAGCCAGUUGGUGCGGUAAAGGCUCACCAAGGCGACGAUCUGUAGCGGGUCUGAGAGGAUGAUCAGCCACACUGGAACUGAGACACGGUCCAGACUCCUACGGGAGGCAGCAGUAGGGAAUAUUGGACAAUGGGCGCAAGCCUGAUCCAGCCAUGCCGCGUGAGGGAAGAAGGCCCUCGGGUUGUAAAGCUCUUUUGUUGGGGAAGAAAAGCCUUGGGUUAAUUCCCUGAGGUUCUGACGGUACCCAAAGAAUAAGCACCGGCUAACUUCGUGCCAGCAGCCGCGGUAACAC
rnacentral:rRNA from 1 species